rnacentral:snoRNA from 1 species
GCUGUAUGAUGAUCAACAAGGGACUUAAUACUGAUCAUGUAUGAUGUCACCUUUUUCCUUCUGAUGCAG